ACGAACGCUGGCGGCGUGCUUCACACAUGCAAGUCGAACGGAAAGGCCCUGCUUUUGUGGGGAGCUCGAGUGGCGAACGGGUGAGUAACACGUGAGUAACCUGCCCUUGACUUUGGGAUAACUUCAGGAAACUGGGGCUAAUACCGGAUAGGAGCUCCUGCUGCAUGGUGGGGGUUGGAAAGUUUCGGCGGUUGGGGAUGGACUCGCGGCUUAUCAGCUUGUUGGUGGGGUAGUGGCUUACCAAGGCUUUGACGGGUAGCCGGCCUGAGAGGGUGACCGGCCACAUUGGGACUGAGAUACGGCCCAGACUCCUACGGGAGGCAGCAGUGGGGAAUAUUGCACAAUGGGCGGAAGCCUGAUGCAGCAACGCCGCGUGCGGGAUGACGGCCUUCGGGUUGUAAACCGCUUUCGCCUGUGACGAAGCGUGAGUGACGGUAAUGGGUAAAGAAGCACCGGCUAACUACGUG
rnacentral:rRNA from 1 species